UACGUAGGGGGCAAGCGUUGUCCGGAUUUAUUGGGCGUAAAGAGCGUGUAGGCGGCCGCACAGGUCCGUUGUGAAAACUGGAGGCUUAACCUCCAGACGUCGAUGGAAACCGUGCGGCUAGAGUCCGGAAGAGGAGAAUGGAAUUCCUGGUGUAGCGGUGAAAUGCGCAGAUAUCAGGAAGAACACCCGUGGCUAAGGCGGUUCUCUAGUACGGUACUGACGCUGAAUAGCGAAAGCGUGGGUAGCGAACAGG
rnacentral:rRNA from 1 species